GGUUGUGCAGAACUUUUUCAGGAUGUACAUACUGAACUCAUCAUGCACAGGCGUGCAUGGAUGAUAAAACGUGGAAUUCUGAAAGGGAAUCUUUCUUCAGAUUCAGCAGAACAAUAUCGUAAUGGCUUGUGUCCUCUCAUGCCUGAAGAGAUUGGUAUUCUCCUUCGAGCAUAUGGUUACUCAUCCGACACUAUCAUUUAUAUAUCUGGCGGAGAGGUCUUUGGUGGGGUGAAGAAGUUAAUUCCACUGCAUGCUAUGUUUGAGAAUGUUGUUGAUAGGACUUCCUUGAGCUCUCCUCUGGAGUGGGAUAAAGUAUAUGGUCAGGAGGCAAACCUUGUUGACCAAUAUUCAAUACCUCCACCUUCAGAUAAUGUGGUCAGGAGAUCACAGGCAUGGAAAAAUUCUGGCCCACGACCUCGUCCACUACCACCGCCCCCAGCACGGCCGAAGAUGUACAAUGUUGAAGGUUGGUGGGGUUGGGUAGCCGAGAGUGAUGAUGAGCCAGAAAGUACCAUCAUGGAGUUGAGAACUAAUGCUCAUCGGUUACUGUGGGAAGCAAUUGACUAUAUGGUUUGCACUGAAGCAGAUGUAUUCAUCACUGGAUUUGACCGUGACGGUAAAGGAAACCCAAAUCUUGCUAGUUUGGUUGUGGGUCAUAGACUGUAUCAGUUUCCUGCAUCUCGAACUUAUGGUCUGGACAGGAAAGAAAUUGCCAAACUUUUUGAGGAGAUUCGCGAUACUCUUUAUCAACCCAAUCACACCUGGAUAACAUCACUGCGCAAACAAUUAAGAAGAAGUUUAAUCGAUGGAUUGUUGGAGGAAUCCAAAAUCUCCAAAUCACAGUCUUUUCUUGCAUUUCCAGUUCCUGAAUGUUCUUGCAUUGCAAAUGAUUCCAUGAAGAGAUCAAUCAACACUUCAAGCCCUAUGCCAAAAUAUGAUAUUCCAGUGUUUUCUGGACAAAUAGACCAAUGCCCUUCUUGGAUGAAUGCCCCCACUUCUUCUCAAUCAAGGGAAGAAACAGAAGAGGAAAAUGACAAAGAUGAUUCGGCCUCCUCGAAUCUGUUCUUGUGGCUGGGUUAUGGCGAUCAAGAAGGUGAUAGCACAGACAUUAGCAACAAAGAAGAAGCUUUUGUGGAGGAUCAAGAAGAACUCGAAGGAGGAGAAAGAUAGGAAAAGAGAACCAACUAGUCAGAAAAAGGAAAGAACAACUCUUGCUAAACUGCAUCGGGUUCUUUUUAACAACACAUGCAGACUAGGGAAGCUCGUACGACUUGAGGUAAGCUUAGCUACCAAAAGAUGCUACAACUGACAUUUCAGAUUGUUGGAAUCCAAUUUUCACAGAAGAAACAGUUGUAGUUAAGGGUGACACUUGAUUUCUG
rnacentral:misc_RNA from 1 species